GGGAACAGGUCUCUGCCUGCAGACUGUGAUCACAACAUGGUAUCUACCUCACGAGUCAUGACUACCUUGGUUCUUCAGCACGUUGACUAUAUGACACGUACUUUUUAAAAGUCAGCGAAGUACUUAGGAAAGUAAAGAUCUGGUGUUGAACGAUGGAAACGAAAGGGCAUGGACUCUUUAGGAAACUGGGAAACCCCAAAGAAGUAGUUCACUAGGGAUACACCUCUGCAAGUGACCCAGGCCCUGCUUCUGGAAUAUUCUUUGCUUCCUGGACCAUCAAACUGUGAGAAGCCUCCUCAUCACAUUCCACUACCACCAAAGAAGCUGCUCCUGUGACCAGGCCUUUCCUAUGAUGAUAAGCUAAAUCUCCCUGAAACCAAACGCCAAAAAAGACUGGUCAUCCUUUCAAUCCAGUCGGGUAGUUGAUCAAAGCAACACAAAAUUAACCACUAGCAUGUAUAUAUAGAUUAUUUUAAUCUGUGCAACAGUCUACUUCCAAG
rnacentral:lncRNA from 1 species